GUGUACUGCCCCUUUAAGUGUGAGCUUGCGCAGAGAGUGCGUGCACGCUGCAAGGCAGAGUGUAUGUGUAAACAGCAGGGAGAGAACGCAUGCAAUGUGAGUAAUGCUGACUUGUUCGAUUAAAAUGAGCUUGUAUAUUGCAAAUUUAAGUUGAAUAGCUGGUUUAUUGUUUUACAUGCUUGCUGUGAAGUUGAAUUGAAAAACUGUGGAAGAGUGCUGAAGUCGAAAAGCACUUGUUGCUUUCUGUGAUUGUUUACUGAGACAUUCUGACUGGUUUUUGGUUCCUGGACAAAUUGUUGGAGGAUGUGAUUGACCCCUGAAUCAUCUGAGUGGAUUCUUCUGGAUAUCUCUUUGUCAUUUUGCCUUGUGUUUCAACUCUUCCGCUCUUGUUCUUCUGUUCUUGAGAACCUGGAGUGUUAUUUCUGGGAAGCGGUAGGACUGAGACAUUAUUUCAUACACAUUGCCCGGGACUGAGACAUUUUUUUUCCUUACAUAUUCCCCUGUAUCCAAAGGAGAAGGAAAAACUGAACAUUUAAAUAUUGGGGAUAUGCUUUUUGAAAUACUUGGGUUAUAAUUGUACUGUUUAUAUUUGUUUCAAUCUAAUUGUCAAUUUAUUUUCAUUAAUUGAGUGUUUUUUGAAGUGCCAGAAGAAAAAAAGGGGAAACCAUUCACCUAUAUUGCCACAAUAUAUAUAUAUUCCUGGCUAA